GCGCACACUAGUUCAGUGGUAGAACUGCCCGACACCUUCAGUUCUCAUCGCGUCGGGAGAUCGGAGGUUCGAAUCCUCCUGGUGGCA